rnacentral:tRNA from 1 species
GGUAGCGUGGCCGAGUGGUCUAAAGCGCUGGUUUUAGGCGUCAGUCUCUUCAAAGACGUGGGUUCGAAUCCCACCGCUCUCA